GGAGCCAUAGAGCAGUGAUUGGUCAGACCAUAGCUGCUGUGGACCUUGUUUUUGGAGUAAAACAUGGUGGAAGCUGAAUUAGUGAGGAUGACUCCUGCUCCUGUCAUCUCUAAGCUCCUCACACAUCUUUACCUGCACAUGAGGAAAAUCACUCCUGUAGAAUGCAGAUGUUCAGAGGGAGAUGAUGCCACAUCUGGUCCAGCUGAUGGAAGGUCUUGAAGUUCUCUGACUGGCCUCGACUGAAGAUGGUCGUCUGACUGGAUUUAAGGUUCAGAUGCUCAGUAACAAACUCCACCAAUGAGCCAACAGGGAAGCUUUAGGUUUAUUAAAUGUUGCUAUGAAGGUAUCGCUGUUUUUCUUUGUGAAUGCAAUGUGCUCCAACUGAAACUUGAAUUAGAACUUAGAAGUAAAUCCUUCCAUCUGAAAGGAUUUAGUUGCAUUAAUAACCUCACAACAUUCUAAUUUUUAUUUCAGUCUUAGUUGGAAAUAGAAUCUCUGUAUUGAUUCAGGUAAAAACUGAACUUCACAGCAUGUUGGAGCAAAACAACCAGAUGAAAACUGUGAUGGUGUUGGAUUGUCAGACCGUAAUGUUGCAGCUCAAAGCAGCUUUUCUGUCUCAGUUCAUUCUGACAUUCAGCUAUGAAUCAACACAGCAGAUGGUGAUCCAUGCUGUGGAAGUCUCACAUUUCCUGAUUUAAUGGAGCUGCUUUGCACUUUUUACACUGUUUAUUCACCAACACUUUAUUUAAUAAAAGUCCCAUCUAGUUUUAAUGAGGAAUGUGAUGUUUUAAUUUCUCUGUGAAUAACUGCAGUCUAAUGUAACAGCUGGAGUUGUAACAUCUGUCCUGAUAUUGAUCAUGAAGUAUUGAUCAGAAUACUUAUGGUUAGCAGUCAUCCCUGAAGUUUACAUUAAAAUCUUUACCUGUGUUGUGAACUUUGGUAAGAAGCAGAAACUUUAGCGUUGCCAUGGAUACAUGAGUGUUAAAUUCUGUCCAUGUUUCCAUUUUGGGAAAUGCAGUCCAGUUCCAGAAUGUGGAGGAAUUUAGUCUCACAAUCGCAGACAACAAAUAUUAUCUGAAAGUCGGGUUAUUGUUGUUUAUCAGCACAAUACAAAAAGAUUAAUGUUAGAAAUAUUCCAGUUAAGACUCUAGAAUAUCAUGAUUUAUGUAAAUUUACCUCAAUAAUAUGAAUGUUCAGGUUAAGAUUGCACAGUGAUAUUUAUUAUGUAAGUUUAGCUGAUUAAAGUUUAUGACUCUCCACUAAAAUAUUAUUUAAAUUGACAUCAUUAUUAUAAUAUUUAGGGUCAGACUGUACAGUAUUGAGAUUAAGAAAUCAAAUAUUCUAUAAAAUGUAAAUACACUGAACUCAUUUGGAUAUAUUUAAAUGAGACUCUAUAACAUUAUUUGACACAAAUUUAUCUAAAUCAAAAUUGUAAUCAUUUUUACUCCAAACAUUUACUGGACUGAUUUAAACAUUAAAAUCACUCCUUUCUAAUCCUCUGCUGUACGUUCAAACCUGAGGCCUUAAAUAGAAACACACAAGUAUCUGAUUGAAGGAACUUCUGCAGAGUCCUGGUUCCAGAACAUGAUGAUAGAAUUAUAGACAAACUUUAACAAAAGCUGCCUGAGAGUUUACAGCUUUUUAUGUUAGAUUUCUUCAGUAAUUUAACGAGCGUUAUCAGCAAAAAUCAAGUGUUCAUUUGAUGAACUUCAUUUCCUAAAACAUCCAGAAUUGGAACUCAUAUCUUUGGCAGCUGUAAAGUUUCUGCUCCUUCAAAGUUCACAACACAAUGAAUUAAUUCCUAAAACACUCUCAAUGCUGGAGAGCGUUUGUGAUGCUGAAGCAGUGACCAGUUUUUCUGUUUCUUCUCUGGAGAUGCACAAUGACGGACGUCUGCAGAGACUGAGAAAGAGUCUCACCACAUCCUGACAUGAGGAAAAAGACUUUAUUGAAGACUACAAUGAGAAAAACUAUCAGACAGCAGACGGCUGCAUUCAAGGUGAGCUCUGAACAUUUGAUCUGGAACAGGAAUUCAAUAACGGCAGCAUGAGCUUCAUUUCAGUCUGUAGCUGCUGAAUUCAUGGAUGAAUCAUCUGGCACUAGAGAGGAAGACCAUCAAACAUCCACAUCAGCUGAUGGAGGUCCAAAAGUCUCACCAAACAAACAACCUACAGAGUGAAGACCUCUAACCUGAUUGGACAGCCUCCUAUUCAGCCACAUGUGAACAAAUGCCUCUAAGCUGAUUUGUUUUCUAAAAUAAAUCUAGUUUGAGUCCUAAUAUAUGCCUGUGUGUUUGCUUCUUUACAUGGCUGUUAACAGUUUAGGCUGUUAGAUUGUUCCAGAUAAGACAAGUACAAGAUUCUUCAGAGCCGUUCUACCACGAGCCUGACAGGAAGA